UACGGAGGGUGCAAGCGUUAUCCGGAUUCACUGGGUUUAAAGGGUGCGUAGGUGGGUCUGUAAGUCCGUGGUGAAAUCUCCAAGCUUAACUUGGAAACUGCCGUGGAUACUACAGAUCUUGAAUAUUGUGGAGGUAAGCGGAAUAUGUCAUGUAGCGGUGAAAUGCUUAGAUAUGACAUAGAACACCGAUAGCGAAGGCAGCUUGCUACACAAUCAUUGACACUGAGGCACGAAAGCGUGGGGAUCAAACAGG
rnacentral:rRNA from 1 species